UUGGUGAGGUAAUGGCCCACCAAGACUAUUACAGGUACGGGCUCUGAGAGGAGUAGCCCGGAGAUGGGUACUGAGACACGGACCCAGGCCCUAUGGGGCGCAGCAGGCGAGAAAACUUUGCAAUGUGCGAAAGCACGACAAGGUUAAUCCGAGUGAUUUGUGCUAAACGAAUCUUUUGUUAGUCCUAGAAACACUAACGAAUAAGGGGUGGGCAAGUUCUGGUGUCAGCCGCCGCGGUAAAACCAGCACCUCAAGUGGUCAGGAUGAUUAUUGGGCCUAAAGCAUCCGUAGCCGGCUCUGUAAGUUUUCGGUUAAAUCUGUACGCCUAACGUACAGGCUGCCGGGAAUACUGCAGAGCUAGGGAGAGGGAGAGGUAGACGGUACUCGGUAGGAAGUGGUAAAAUGCUUUGAUCUAUCGAUGACCACCUGUGGCGAAGGCGGUCUACCAGAACACGUCCGACGGUGAGGGAUGAAAGCUGGGGGAGCAAACCGGAUUAGAUACCCGGGUAGUCCCAGCUGUAAACUAUGCAAACUCAGUGAUGCAUU
rnacentral:rRNA from 1 species